GAUGAACGCUGGCGGCGUGCCUAAUACAUGCAAGUCGAGCGGACGGACGAGAAGCUUGCUUCUCUGGUGUUAGCGGCGGACGGGUGAGUAACACGUGGAUAACCUACCUAUAAGACUGGGAUAACUUCGGGAAACCGGAGCUAAUACCGGAUAAUAUUUUGAACCGCAUGGUUCAAAAGUGAAUGUCGGUCUUGCUGUCACUUAUAGAUGGAUCCGCGCUGCAUUAGCUAGUUGGUAAGGUAACGGCUUACCAAGGCAACGAUGCAUAGCCGACCUGAGAGGGGGAUCGGGCACAGUGGAACUGAGAGACGGUCCAGAGUCCGACGGGAGGCAGCAGUAGGGAAGCGUCCGCAAUGGGCGAAAGACUGACGGAGCAACGCCGCGUGAGUGAUGAAGGUCUGCGUAGCGUAAGACGGUGUUAGUAGGGAAGAACACAUGUGCAAGUAACUGUGCACAUCGUGACGGUACCUAAUCAGAAAGCCACGGCUAACUACGUG
rnacentral:rRNA from 1 species